rnacentral:lncRNA from 1 species
UGGGUUCGGGAGGCUCAGCACCCCAACAGGGUGGGCUAAAGGUCAUGUGAGCCCUGACGCUCAGCAACAGACUGCCCGGUCGGCAGAGGCUCUGGGAGGGAAGCUCAGGCUGGUCUUGAGUGAACCAGGUGAGUGGGCUCUUUGCUCUGUCGUCGUUCAAGGCUGCACUGUGCACUGGACAGCAGAAGGGCUGAACCUCCCCAGGGUCCCAGUUCCGUGCAGACAGGGACAGGUUUGCCGAUGCUUGCAUGCGCAAACACCCCAUCACCCUCCUCGGCACCAGCUCGUGUCAGCUUCAGCACCCUGACAUGUGCUCUGCCCCAAUGAACUGUGCUCUGCCCCCUUUCCAGAGGGCUAGCACUGAGGUGGC